AUUUCUAUUCACACAUCCCAUGUGGGAUGUGAC
rnacentral:sRNA from 1 species